UUAUUAAUGUGUAUUUCUGUUCUUCCAUGUGAGUAUUAAUGUGUAUGUCUGAGUUGGGUGUUAAGGGCUAUAUGAACUUCAUGGAAUGAACUAGGUAGCCGCAUU